rnacentral:lncRNA from 1 species
CUCCUCUUAAGGGAAAAAUGUCAGUUGUACUUUACACUUAAUUUAGGUAGGUUAAAAAUUGAUGGGAAAGAAUUUCAGGUGGAAGUUCCAGCUGAUUUUCGAUCACACCCUCAUCCAUCUUAUCACAAUGUUGACUACAUAUCUUACAUGGAAAGUGACAAGUGUUACAUUUAUACAGAUAGUUCCAAAUCAAAUGAUGGAGUGGAGUCAAUCUUUUCCGUUAUCCGAGGUAGGAAAGUUUUACAGUGUUCGGAUUUUAAAGUUAAUCCCAACUGUAUUAUAGUUCAGGCAGAAUUACUUGCAG